CCUCGCCAGUCGCCACCUCGAGCUUGCCGGUAUGUGUGGGUACGUGCACGUGCGUCUCUCCUGCCGGGUUGCAUCAUCCCGCGCGAGGCCCGAUAGUCGGGCUCCUGCAUCGUACUAUCAGUUAAUCGUCUAUUCUAACUAACUAUCAGUUAAUUCUACAACGCCUAUUGGUUAGUCGUGGCCGUAUUGGAACCGUCUAGGAUCCAGCAUGUAUCCUUACAUCAUGGGAUCCAGGAGCCACUUAACCAGAGGAAGAAGAAGACGUGCGUCUCAUUCAUCACGGAAAGGUUUCCGAUUUUCGGCCGGAGAUUACAGGACACUAGUAAAACUCAGGUGGUCUCUUUCGUAAGAUCGUCUCAUCCAACCUUACGUCUCUCAUCUGAUCACGCCAAUUCAACCAAGGAAAACAUUCAACACCGGUACUUUGAAUUCUUAUGGAAACACUUUUACUCUUCAUAAUAAGCUGAUUAAGAUUACAAUGCCGCGACGUAGAAGACCUGAGGAAAAUAUUAGUAAAUCUGAGUUAUUUCGUUGCGCAAAAAAACAAACGAUUUGAGAACUAGAAGAAAUUUCUAUUGUGUUUCAAUCACACGAAAGCUCGGCUAUUAUUAGACCCGAAGAGGAAAUCUAUACAGAAACAGUAAAUAAUGUUCUUUUAACAAAAGACAAUGACAGUCAAACAGAACUCUCAAAUGCCCAGGAAGUAUACAACGAACAUUUUAAUGAACAUAUUGCAAUGCAAACAAUCAACACCUGUAUACAUAUAUAGUGAG